rnacentral:rRNA from 1 species
CUGAAAUCAACCAAGACUACCCGCUGAACUUAAGCAUAUCAAUAAGCGGA